rnacentral:rRNA from 1 species
CCUACGGGAGGCAGCAGUGAGGAAUAUUGGUCAAUGGGCGGAAGCCUGAACCAGCCAAGCCGCGUGAGGGAAUAAGGCCCUACGGGUCGUAAACCUCUUUUGCCGGGGAGCAAGGGCGGGGACGUGUCCCUGCCCGGAGGGUACCCGGAGAAAAAGCAUCGGCUAACGCCGGUCCAGCAGCCGCGGUAAUACGGAGGAUGCGGGCGUUAGCCGGAUUUAUUGGGUUAAAAGGUUGCGUAGGCGGGCUUUUAAGUCAGCGGUAAAAAUUCGGGGGGCAACCCCGUCCGGCCGUUGAAACUGGGGGCCUUGAGUGGGCGAGAAGAAGGCGGAAUGCGUGGUGUAGCGGUGAAAUGCAUAGAUAUCACGCAGAACCCCGAUUGCGAAGGCAGCCUACCGGCGCCCUACUGACGCUGAGGCACGAAAGUGCGGGGAUCGAACAGGAUUAGAUACCCCGGUAGUC